UACGUAGGGGGCGAGCGUUGUCCGGAAUUACUGGGCGUAAAGGGCGCGUAGGCGGCUCGUUAAGUCCGCUGUGAAAGACCGAGGCUCGAACCUCGGGAGGUCAGCGGAGACUGGGGGGCUUGGGUGUCGGAGAGGGAGCGCGGAAUCCCUGGUGUAGCGGUGGAAUGCGUAGAGAUCAGGGGGAACACCGAUGGCGAAGGCAGAUCGUCUGGGCCGUAACUGACGCUGAGG
rnacentral:rRNA from 1 species